rnacentral:tRNA from 1 species
GGCGCAGUGGCGGGGCCUCACCUCGCUCUCCGGCGGCGAGCAGAAGCGCCUGGCGCUCGAGGCGCUGUUGCGCGGC